rnacentral:rRNA from 1 species
UUAUUUUACAUGGAUAACUGUGGUAAUUCUAGAGCUAAUACAUGCAACAAGCCUUGACCCUUACGGGCAAGGCGCAGUUAUUAGAUCAAAAACCAAUCGGUUGUAUCUUCGGAUAUAGCCGUUAGCUUGGUGACUCUGAGUAACCACAGCGAACCGUAUGGCCUUGUGCUCGACGGUCUGUCAGUCAAGCAACUGCCUUAUCAGCUUGUUGUUAGGUUAUAUGCCUAACAAGGCUUCAACGGGUAACGAACGAUCGGGGUCGGAUAUCGGAGAGGGAGCUUGAGAAACGGCUACCACUUCCAAGGAAGGCAGCAGGCGCGCAAAUUACCCACUCUCGGCAUGAGGAGGUAGCGAUAAAAUGUAUCGAUGCGGGGCCAUUAGUGCCUUCGUAAUCGGAAUGAGUACACUUUAAAUCCUAUAACAAGGACCUAUUGGAGGGCAAGUCUGGUGCCAGCAGCCGCGGUAAUUCCAGCUCCAAUAGCGUAUAUUAAUGCUGCUGCGGUUAAAAAGCUCGUAGUCGGAUCUGGGUUACCGGCGGGUACCGCAUGUUGCUUCACGCAGCAUGUUGUGUACUAUACGUGUCGCUUCGGCGGCACUGCCAGUGUAAUGCUACCUUCAUAGGUACGUUACGCUGGUCGCCGGAACCACGGGCCGGGUUGAGCAGCAUGCUCUUAAUUGAGUGUGCUGUUUACUCGGUGCGUUUACUUUGAAAAAAUUGGAGUGCUCAAAGCAAGCGUACAGUCGCUAUGCGGCUUGAACAGUGGUGCAUGGAAUAAUGGAAUAGGGCCUCGGUUCUAUUUUGUUGGUUUUAAGAUAUCGAGGUAAUGAUUAAGAGGGACAGACGGGGACGUUUGUAUUGCGACGUUAGAGGUGAAAUUCUUGGAUCGUCGCAAGCCACACUAAUGCGAAAGCAUUCGU